UACGGAAGGCAGCAGUGGGGAAUAUUGCACAAUGGGCGAAAGCCUGAUGCAGCUAUGCCGCGUGUAUGAAGAAGGCCUUAGGGUUGUAAAGUACUUUCAGUCGGGGAAGGAAAAACAAAACUAAUAAUUUUAUUUCUCGACGUUAACCCGAAAAGAAGCACCGGCUAACUCCGUGCCAGCAGCCGCGGUAAUACGGGAGGGUGCUAGCGUUAAUCAGAAUUACUGGGCGUAAAGAGCACGUAGGUUGGUUUUUUUAAGUCAGAUGUGAAAUCCCUGGGCUUAACCUAGGAAACUGCAUUUUGAAACUGAAAUACUAGAGUAUCGUAGAGGGAGGUAGAAUUCUAGGUGUAGCGGUGAAAUGCGUAGAUAUCUGGAGGAAUACCUGUGGCGAAAGCGGCCUCCUAAACGAAUACUGACACUGAGGUGCGAAAAGCGUGGGGAGCAAACAGGGAUUAGAUACC
rnacentral:rRNA from 1 species